GUGCUCUCUUCGGCAGCACAUAGACUAAAAUUGGAACGACACAGAGAAGGUUAGAAUAAGGAUGACAUGCAAAUUCAUGAACCGAGCCAUAUCUUU
ensembl:snRNA U6 U6 spliceosomal RNA